CUAACUUAUUGUUGGUUGAACAUGAUGUUUGGAGAUGUUACUGCUUCUUUAACCUUCCACGGAGCCCCCUUUUUUUAAUUUUUUUUUUAAUUACUGCUCCUUAGAUUGUUGAGUACAAUCAAACAUUUGAAGUCUAAUUUAGUUUCUACUUAGUUUCAAUUUGUGAAUUUGAAAGACUGCUGUGGAUUUAAUUACUAUACUGAAACCAUUGUGUUUUGCAGGACUACUUUUUCUUCUUCCAAUUAGAAAAUUAAAAAAAAAAAAAAA
rnacentral:lncRNA from 1 species